UCGGGAAUUUUGGGCAAUGGGCGAAGGCCUGACCCAGCAACGCCGCGUGAGGGAUGAAGUAUUUCGGUAUGUAAACCUCGAAAGAAUGGGAAGAAUAAAUGACGGUACCAUUUAUAAGCUCCGGCUAACUACGUGCCAGCAGCCGCGGUAAUACGUAGGGAGCAAGCGUUGUUCGGAUUUACUGGGCGUAAAGGGCGCGUAGGCGGCGCGGUAAGUCACUUGUGAAAUCUCUGAGCUUAACUCAGAACGGCCAAGUGAUACUGCUGUGCUAGAGUGCGGAAGAGGCAACCGGAAUUCUUGGUGUAGCGGUGAAAUGCGUAGAUAUCAAGAGGAACACCUGAGGCGAAGGCGGGUUGCUGGGCCGACACUGACGCUGAUGCGCGAAAGCCAGGGGAGCAAACG
rnacentral:rRNA from 1 species